AAACUAACAAGGAUUCCCCUAGUAACGGCGAGUGAAGAGGGAAGAGCCCAAGAUUGAAAGCUGGCGUUUUCGGCGUCCGCAUUGUAAUCUCAAGAAGUGUUUUCCGCUUCGGACCAAGCCUAAGUCCCCUGGAAAGGGGCAUCAUAGAGGGUGAUAAUCCCGUACAUGGCUUGGAGCGCCCGAGGCUUUGUGAUACGCUUUCUAAGAGUCGAGUUGUUUGGGAAUGCAGCUCAAAAUGGGUGGUAAAUGCCAUCUAAGGCUAAAUAUUGGGGAGAGACCGAUAGCGAACAAGUACAGUGAUGGAAAGAUGAAAAGAACUUUGAAAAGAGAGUUAAACAGUACGUGAAAUUGCCAAAAGGGAAGGGUAGGAGGUCAGAGAUGCGGCCUGGGAUUCAGCCUUGCUUUUGCUUGGUGUUUUUCCCAGAUUGCAGGCCAACGUCGGUUUUGGGCACUGGAGAAGGGUAGGAGGAACGUGGCACCCCUCGGGGUGUGUUAUAGCCUCCUACUGGAUACAGCGACCGAGACCGAGGACAGCAGCGUACUCGC
rnacentral:rRNA from 1 species